UACAGAGGUCUCAAGCGUUGUUCGGAUUCAUUGGGCGUAAAGGGUGCGUAGGCGGCGCGGUAAGUCGGGUGUGAAAUCUCGGGCGUUAACUCCGAAACUGCAUUCGAUACUGCCGUGCUUGAGGACUGGAGAGGAGACUGGAAUUUACGGUGUAGCGGUGAAAUGCGUAGAUAUCGUAAGGAAGACCAGUGGCGAAGGCGGGUCUCUGGACAGUUCCUGACGCUGAGGCACGAAGGUCAGGGGAGCAAACGGG
rnacentral:rRNA from 1 species